ensembl:snRNA U6 U6 spliceosomal RNA
GUACUCACUGUGGCGGCACUUAUACUAAAAUUGGAAUGGUACAGAGAAGAUCAGCAUGGCCCUUGCACAAGGAUGACAGGCAAAGAUUAAGGGGGGAGGGGAGAUGGACAACAAAGAUUA